rnacentral:lncRNA from 1 species
CGCCGCCCGCAGGGAUGGUGCGGAGCCUGCCCAGGCUGCGCUCCAGGCUGCCAGGCGGUUUCCCCCGCGCUUGCAGACUCCGGUCCCAAGUCAGCGGGCUCACCUUGCGGGCGCCUGCAGCACGCGCCGGGCUCUGAAGCUGCGCGCAAACUUCUCCCGACUUCAGCGCAGCCCGCCCCGCCCGCCUCUCCACGCAGCCCAGGCGGCGGCGGCUGCAGCGAGGGCGCGCCAGCUCCUCCCGGGCCCUCCAGCCCCUCCCGGCCCUCCCCUCCGCGCCUCUCCCCUCCCCUCAGUCCCUCCCGGCCCGGGAGAGGGAGGGGCGAGCUGCCGAGCUCUGCGCGCCUCCUCGCCAGCCCCUGCCCCGGCCCCGGCCCGCGAUGGGGCUGCGCUCCGCCGCUGCCCGGCCGAGGGCCAGGCGGGGCUCACCCUCGCGUCCUGGGGCCGAUAGCGGGGCGCGCACCCACUCUUAGCAGGCGAGGGACCCCCGUGGAGGCCCGAAAGGAGACUGCGGUCCGGGCUGGGAGAUUUCCAACUUGUCCCUGGAGACAGCUUUGUGGGCGCCCCGUCCGCUCCCCGGAGGAUGCAAAUUUCGGAGGGUGGGGUGCUGGGGGCUAUGGAAGCCGCAUCCUCUUUGUCCGGCGAGGUGGCUGCGCACCGUCGAGGUUGCUAAUACUGUCCCUGGGCAAAAGGAAUCCUAACAGCAACAUAACAGGAGCGGGAGAAAGCCGGACGGCAGAGCGGCACGCUUCCCCCAGCGGUCCCAAGAUUCCCUUAAGCAGAAAGGGCGGUUGGCAGGCGAGAUGGAGGCGUCCCCUGCACCGGGCUGCAGCCUGCACCCGUCCAGCCCAGGGGCCCCUCCCUGGAAAGGCGGUGGCUGAAGGUGUGGAUAUGGAAGAGCAGCUUUUGUGUGCAAACUCCACUUCUGUCCCCAAACCGUCCAUUCUCCUUGCUGAGGACGUGAAGUCCUGCCCUGUAGAAAGGGCUUGUGAGGGGUGGGCAUCUGGUCUACAGGUUUGAAUCCCAGCUCUGCAACAUAUUGUAGCUUCCUGCUAAUGCACACCCCACCAGGAGGCAGCAGGUGACAUCUGCAUGGGAGACCUGAGUCCAGUUCCCAUGGAGGGCACCAGCAUAUGAGAUCUCUCUUUGCCGCUCUAAAUACAUAAAUAAAUAAAAUUUUAAAAGGUUUUGUGAGUUCUUG